GGGGAUUUAGCUCAGUGGUAGAGCGCUUGCCUAGCAAGCACAAGGCCCUGGGUUCGGUCCCCAAUUCCGA
rnacentral:tRNA from 1 species